AGCCAAACCGAGGAAGAUCCACUGCGGCUUGGAUCUGAGCCUCUGUGGCUUUCCGACUUCUCGGCUCGUCUUCUCUUGGGCUCCUGCUGUUAAUUGGAUCUGGUGAACUGAGGGAAAUGGUGCCGCAGUAGCUUCUUGUGGCGUCUCUUGACGUAGAUUCUUCACUUUAUUGGGUGUCAAACUGUAUUGGACGUAGUUCGACGAGGUUUUGUGGAACCGGUGAGGUAACCGUGGAAAGAUUCAAUUUUGGUGGAGAUAUGGAAAUUCAAGGUACCAUUGGAUCUUGACUAUCGUCAAUGAAGAUAAAAAUAUAAUAUAUUUAUUGGACGCUAUGUCUAAUAGAAACCGAGACGAUGCAUGGAAUACUAUGAUGACCAAUUGGGUCAAGAUGUACAAUGCCUCAAAGGGUAUUGCUAAAUCACCAGGUUUUAAACAAUUGACGAUAUUGUGUGAUGAGGUACAUGAAAGACAUAGUUGAAUGUGAAAAUCCACAGUUGGAGAAGAUGUUUGCAGGAACAAUCAAGAAUCAAUAUUACAACCAAUCUCAAUAUGAUGAAGUCAGAAGUGAAUGGAG